rnacentral:rRNA from 1 species
UGCGUAGGGGGCAAGCGUUGUCCGGAUUUAUUGGGCGUAAAGCGCGUGUAGGCGGCCAGAUAGGUCUGCUGUGAAAACUCGAGGCUCAACCUCGAGCUGUCGGCGGAAACCAUCUGGCUAGAGUCCGGAAGAGGAGAGUGGAAUUCCUGGUGUAGCGGUGAAAUGCGCAGAUAUCAGGAAGAACACCUAUGGCGAAGGCAGCUCUCUGGGACGGUACUGACGCUGAGACGCGAAAGCGUGGGGAGCGAACAGG